rnacentral:misc_RNA from 1 species
GAUGAAGAACGUAGCGAAAUGCGAUAAGUAAUGUGAAUUGCAGAAUUCAGUGAAUCAUCGAAUCUUUGAACGCACAUUGCGCCCGCCAGUAUUCUGGCGGGCAUGCCUGUUCGAGCGUCAUUUCAACCAUCAAGCCCCAGGCUUGUGUUGGGGACCUGCGGCUGCCGCAGGCCCUGAAAACCAGUGGCGGGCUCGCUGUCACACCGGGCGUAGUAGAUUAUAUCUCGCUCAGGGCGUGCUGCGGGUUCCGGCCGUUAAAAAGCCUUUUUUACCCAAGGUUGACCUCGGAUCAGGUAGGAAGACCCGCUGAACUUAAGCAUAUCAAUAAGCGGAGGA